rnacentral:rRNA from 1 species
AGCGAGUCUGCCUUGAAGAUCGGAGUGCUUGCACUCUGUGAAACAAGAUACAGGCUAGCGGCGGACGGGUGAGUAACACGUGGGUAACCUGCCCAAGAGAUCGGGAUAACACCCGGAAACAGAUGCUAAUACCGGAUAACAACAGAUGAUGCCUAUCAACUGUUUAAAAGAUGGUUCUGCUAUCACUCUUGGAUGGACCUGCGGUGCAUUAGCUAGUUGGUAGGGUAACGGCCUACCAAGGCGAUGAUGCAUAGCCGAGUUGAGAGACUGAUCGGCCACAUUGGGACUGAGACACGGCCCAAACUCCUACGGGAGGCAGCAGUAGGGAAUCUUCCACAAUGGACGCAAGUCUGAUGGAGCAACGCCGCGUGAGUGAAGAAGGGUUUCGGCUCGUAAAGCUCUGUUGUUGGUGAAGAAGGACAGGGGUAGUAACUGACCUUUGUUUGACGGUAAUCAAUUAGAAAGUCACGGCUAACUACGUGCCAGCAGCCGCGGUAAUACGUAGGUGGCAAGCGUUGUCCGGAUUUAUUGGGCGUAAAGCGAGUGCAGGCGGCUCGAUAAGUCUGAUGUGAAAGCCUUCGGCUCAACCGGAGAAUUGCAUCAGAAACUGUCGAGCUUGAGUACAGAAGAGGAGAGUGGAACUCCAUGUGUAGCGGUGAAAUGCGUAGAUAUAUGGAAGAACACCGGUGGCGAAGGCGGCUCUCUGGUCUGUUACUGACGCUGAGGCUCGAAAGCAUGGGUAGCGAACAGGAUUAGAUACCCUGGUAGUCCAUGCCGUANACGAUGAGUGCUAAGUGUUGGGAGGUUUCCGCCUCUC